UUUGGCUCAACAACCGUUGUCGGUCAAGGCCUGCCUGUACCACUUGUUGGCUUGGCUUUCAGUGACUAAUUGAAUUCCCCCCAUAGCAGGAUAGUCAGUCCUACGUAUGGCGGCACGGUCCAUUUGGGGAUUGAACCCAUGACGGGCAUGUUGUUAAGUCGUACGAGUUGACGACUGUACUACGAGACCUGAUAUUGCAUGAUUGAGGAUAGAUUACAACCUACAUAUCAUGGCAUUUUUCUCUAAAUUAGUUACUAUGAUACACCAACUUUAGCCGAAGCAAAUUAAUAUCCAUUUUUAAAUCUCCAGUCGAUCGUCAAACGUGAUCGGGGAAAAAUAAUUCGUACCCAAGAACGAAACACACAAGCACACACACACACGUACUGGGGCGCACGAACGUUCCAGCCGAUAGCCGUAUUUUCCCCAUGCACACAAGACCCCUCAAACACGCAACGUGGAAAGAAGGGAAAUGGGAGGGGGGCGGGAGUUUCCACCGCAAAAGCAAACACACAUUUGGCAACGAAAGGGAGCGACGGCCUAUUUGCUCCGAAGCGAGGAUCUCCACGGAUCACGCCAGGAAGGCGGAAGAAGGAGUAGACUGUCCACAGGGGUCUGCGGUCUGGGCAGGGUGUAGUGCACACUGGGGUGAAUCUGAGACGCGCUCCAAUUCGUUCUCAGUUCACUGUCACUAGCGAACGGUCCAGCCACUCUCUCUUACUCUCAUUGAAAAUAUCCAGAGACUAUCGUCGAGUACAGCGACUGGGACUGGCUGCGGCUCGGUAUGCGCGUUUUACAUCAUUGAUUUAUUUUAUCGGGCGAGGCAGAUUUUCAUCUCAUUCAUGUUCUCCCGUGCCUGGCUGGCCCAGCGCGUGCUCUCUUUCUCAUGCUUGCUUGAUGUGGGCUCCCUACUUGCACACAGUACAAUUUUUAUGGGUAUUCUACACCGUGCCGACCAAUCACACGUAUUGUCCUCAAUCCUUUCGCAAUUACCCCUGGUGGAAGAACAUUGGAAUGAGUCUUUUCGUCUCGAACUCUUGUUCGUAACGAUGCAACAAAACCUUUUAAUUCUCGCUCGGACCAUUACCCCCAACAGCAAUCAAUGUUCCGGUGUUGUCAUCUUAUCUCACUCUACGCACACACCUCACAACAUCCAUUCUCACGAUACAGUGAAUCUCAUGCUCACUCUACGCCGUGACUCAUUCGGACACAAUGCUCGCUGCAUCUCGGUCGGCCAGCCAGAACGAAAACAAGCACAAAAUGUGGCCCCAAAAUGAUUUCUCUUAAAAACCAAUGGUGGUCAUGGCUGAUCUGGCCAUUUGCUUUGCGGCCCCGCGCAUUCGAGUCGAUUUUCAGUGUCCCAUGAAAAAAAACCCUACUUUUCUCACGCUCAUCUCAUCUCACUUCCAAAACCAAGAUCCGAGGAAAUGACAAGCUGAUCCCAUCGACCUCUACUACUACUACAACUGACUGCAUCAUCCUCUCCAUGACUUUUGCACAUCAAAGAACGGACACACAUACACACUCACGCAUACAGGCACAUGCACACACACACACGCACACUUCGACCCGCUCCCACUCGGCACCACUCGCAAUGGAUUGAGAAAAGGCUGCAUUUUCUUACAUUUUGCUUCCGCUGAUAGCUUGACUGCACUUGUUUCGAGCUUUUAAUUUGACACCAUCAUCAUCAUCCGAGCCAGCGCAGCCUGUAAGACGAUUCCUGCUCGUUGCUACUCCCUUUGCUGCACCCUCCACGGCGACGUUCACGUUCACUUUUGCACAAUUUUCAUCUCACUUGCGUCGCGCAACUGAGAAUCAUCCUCGCCCCACGACACCGAAACUGGAGUCGGUCGAGCACAGUGCGGAUUUUGCCACCCCGCCCUUGUGUGUAUUUUCGCGUAGUUUUUCUUCGCACCACCGACAGGGCGCCGUUGCACUUUUUCUUUUCCCCCUGCGAGCAGGCGCAACCACACUGCCCCACACUGUCCCACACUCCCUGAUGGUGCGGAGACGGGACGAGCAGCAGUCGCUGGAUGUACCGUGGUUCGACCGUGGCCGUGCGUGCGUGACUGCCUGCCGGACACACAGACGGGUACAGACGGGUGGCGAAAGCUGGUACCAGGAGCACGCAUUCACGUACACCACGGCAAGAGGCGCUGCUGUCGACACACACGGGAAUACGCGCACGGUUCCUCAAUCGGCCAUUAAGAUGACGCGGUCGUCGUCGCUCUAGCUGGGCCUCGGCGGAUCGGCGGAUAUGUUUUCUGCACAGCUUCGGGGCGUGAAGGCUCCGCAAACAACACGCACACGCGAACGCAACUGCUUCCCGGACUGCACGACCGGAUGCACUUUUCCGGCUCGAUUUCGUUUGCGAAGGCAGGCCAAAAUCGCCACCGUUUUCUUUUACCGUGAAAAGAAAA